ACGCUCGACACCUACGGGAAGCAGCAGUUGGGAAUAUUGGACAAUGGAGGAAACUCUGAUCCAGUGACGCCGCGUGAAGGAAGAAGGUCUUCGGAUUGUAAACUUAUUUUGUCAGGGAAGAAAAAAUGACUGUACCUGAAGAAAAAGCACCGGCUAACUACGUGCCAACAGCCGCGGUAAUCUGAGCGGGCUGGCAAGGC
rnacentral:rRNA from 1 species